rnacentral:rRNA from 1 species
AACGCAGGCAUUUCGGGGGUAACCCUGAGAUGUGCUGAGCGGCGGACGAGUGAGUAAUACGUGGACAACCUACCUUCAAGGCUGGGAUAACUCCGGGAAACUGGAGCUAAUACCGGAUAAGACCACGGCGUCCAUGGAUGCUGAGGUAAAAGGCGGCUGGGCAACUGGCUGUCACUUAAAGACGGGUUCGCGUCCCACCAGGUAGUUGGUGAGGUAACGGCUCACCAAGCCUAAGACGGGUAGCUGGCCUUAGCGGGUGGUCAGCCACACGGGGACUGAGAUACGGCCCCGACUCCUACGGGAGGCAGCAGUGGGGAAUAUUGGGCAAUGGGCGAAAGCCUGACCCAGCGACGCCGCGUGGGGGAUGAAGGCCUUCGGGUCGUAAACCCUUGUCGGGAGGGACGAUGGGUCUGUGAGCUAAUACCUCACAGACUUGACGGUACCUCCAGAGGAAGCCCCGGCUAACUCCGUGCCAGCAGCCGCGGUAAUACGGAGGGGGCAAGCGUUGCUCGGAAUUACUGGGCGUAAAGGGUCCGUAGGCGGCUUCAUAAGUUAGAUGUGAAAGCUCAGGGCUCAACCCUGAAAUUGCAUCUAAAACUGUGGAGCUAGAGUCCAGAAGAGGUCGGCGGAAUUCCCGGUGUAGCGGCGAAAUGCGUAGAUAUCGGGAGGAACACCAGUGGCGAAGGCGGCCGACUAGUCUGGCACUGACGCUGAGGGACGAAAGCGUGGGGAGCGAACCGGAUUAGAUACCCGGGUAGUCCACGCCCUAAACGAUGGAUGCUAGGUGUGGGGGUGUAAACCUCCGUGCCGCAGCUAACGCAUUAAGCAUCCCGCCUGGGGAGUAUGGUCGCAAGGCUGAAACUCAAAGGAAUUGACGGGGG